AAGAGUUUGAUCAUGGCUCAGAUUGAACGCUGGCGGCAGGCCUAACACAUGCAAGUCGAACGGUAACAGGAAGCAGCUUGCUGCUUCGCUGACGAGUGGCGGACGGGUGAGUAAUGUCUGGGAAACUGCCUGAUGGAGGGGGAUAACUACUGGAAACGGUGGCUAAUACCGCAUAACGUCGCAAGACCAAAGAGGGGGACCUUCGGGCCUCUUGCCAUCAGAUGUGCCCAGAUGGGAUUAGCUUGUUGGUGAGGUAACGGCUCACCAAGGCGACGAUCCCUAGCUGGUCUGAGAGGAUGACCAGCCACACUGGAACUGAGACACGGUCCAGACUCCUACGGGAGGCAGCAGUGGGGAAUAUUGCACAAUGGGCGCAAGCCUGAUGCAGCCAUGCCGCGUGUAUGAAGAAGGCCUUCGGGUUGUAAAGUACUUUCAGCGGGGAGGAAGGUGUUGUGGUUAAUAACCGCAGCAAUUGACGUUACCCGCAGAAGAAGCACCGGCUAACUCCGUGCCAGCAGCCGCGGUAAUACGGAGGGUGCAAGCGUUAAUCGGAAUUACUGGGCGUAAAGCGCACGCAGGCGGUCUGUCAAGUCGGAUGUGAAAUCCCCGGGCUCAACCUGGGAACUGCAUUCGAAACUGGCAGGCUUGAGUCUUGUAGAGGGGGGUAGAAUUCCAGGUGUAGCGGUGAAAUGCGUAGAGAUCUGGAGGAAUACCGGUGGCGAAGGCGGCCCCCUGGACAAAGACUGACGCUCAGGUGCGAAAGCGUGGGGAGCAAACAGGAUUAGAUACC
rnacentral:rRNA from 1 species